rnacentral:rRNA from 1 species
UGUACACGCUGUGACUAGCAUAUCAAUAAGCGGAGGAAAAGUACCUACGCUUAGGAUGUUGACGAGACUGUCGAUCUCAUCUAUACAUGACUCUGUGCAUAUCAAUAAGCGGAGGAAAAGAAACUAACAAGGAUUCCCCUAGUAACGGCGAGUGAAGCGGGAGGAGCUCAAAUUUGAAAUCUUAAAGGGUUUCCCUUUACGAAUUGUAGUUUAAAGAAGUGUUUUCUGUUGAGGUUUUGGUAAAAGUUCUUUGGAAUAGGACAUCAUAGAGGGUGAGAAUCCCGUAUUUGACCUUUACUUUCAACUUUGUGAUACACUUUCAAAGAGUCGGAUUGUUUGGGAAUGCAGUCCAAAAUGGGUGGUAAAUUUCAUCUAAAGCUAAAUAUUGGCGAGAGACCGAUAGCGAACAAGUACCGUGAGGGAAAGAUGAAAAGAACUUUGAAAAGAGAGUUAAACAGUACGUGAAAUUGUCAAAAGGGAAGCGUUUGACACCAGUGUUGUUUUUCUGAAAAUCAAUUAAAGAACUGUUUAUGCUAAGUUGUUUAGACUUUAUCAGCUAACUGUUUAGUUUUGAGCUUUUCUUUAAUGCACUUUUCAGUUAACAAGUCAACAUCAAUUUCUUUUGCUGUAAAAAAGCUUGAGGAAGGUGGCUUGAGAUUCGUCUUAAGUGUUUAUAGCCUCUUGCCUAUGCAGUCGGAGAGAUUGAGGUCCUGCAGCGUAGAUCCUUCGGGGCUAAAUGCAUUUGUGCUAAGUUAUAGCAUUUUAUAGACAACUUGUUGACUAUGAUUUGUCUUGUAGCUUACUCGCUUAUGUUAUUUUACCUACGCUUAGGAUGUUGAAGAUGUAGCACAUCAU